rnacentral:rRNA from 1 species
UACGUAGGUGGCAAGCGUUGUCCGGAAUUAUUGGGCGUAAAGCGCGCGCAGGCGGUCCUUUAAGUCUGAUGUGAAAGCCCACGGCUCAACCGUGGAGGGUCAUUGGAAACUGGGGGACUUGAGUACAGAAGAGAAGAGUGGAAUUCCACGUGUAGCGGUGAAAUGCGUAGAGAUGUGGAGGAACACCAGUGGCGAAGGCGGGUCUCUGGGCCGAUACUGACGCUGAGGAGCGAAAGCGUGGGUAGCAAACAGG